rnacentral:rRNA from 1 species
AUUGAACGCUGGCGGCAUGCCUUACACAUGCAAGUCGAACGGCAGCGGACCUUCGGGUGCCGGCGAGUGGCGAACGGGUGAGUAAUAUAUCGGAACGUACCUUUCAGUGGGGGAUAACGUAGCGAAAGUUACGCUAAUACCGCAUAUUCUGUGAGCAGGAAAGCAGGGGAUCGCAAGACCUUGCGCUGAUUGAGCGGCCGAUAUCAGAUUAGCUAGUUGGUGAGGUAAAGGCUCACCAAGGCGACGAUCUGUAGCGGGUCUGAGAGGAUGAUCCGCCACACUGGAACUGAGACACGGUCCAGACUCCUACGGGAGGCAGCAGUGGGGAAUAUUGGACAAUGGGCGCAAGCCUGAUCCAGCCAUGCCGCGUGAGUGAAGAAGGCC